rnacentral:rRNA from 1 species
AUUAUGGCUCAGGAUGAACGCUAGCUACAGGCUUAACACAUGCAAGUCGAGGGGCAGCAUUGGGAUAGCUUGCUAUUCAGAUGGCGACCGGCGCACGGGUGAGUAACGCGUAUCCAACCUUCCCUAUAGUAGAGAAUAGCCCGGCGAAAGUCGGAUUAAUGCUCUAUGUUGUGUUUUUGAGGACAUCUGACGAACACCAAAGGUUCACCGCUAUAGGAUGGGGAUGCGUCUGAUUAGCUUGUUGGCGGGGUAACGGCCCACCAAGGCGACGAUCAGUAGGGGUUCUGAGAGGAAGGUCCCCCACAUUGGUACUGAGACACGGACCAAACUCCUACGGGAGGCAGCAGUGAGGAAUAUUGGUCAAUGGGCGAGAGCCUGAACCAGCCAAGUAGCGUGCAAGGACGACUGCCCUAUGGGUUGUAAACUGCUUUUAUCAGGGAAUAAAGUGCGGCACGUGUGCCGUUUUGUAUGUACCUGAUGAAUAAGGACCGGCUAAUUCCGUGCCAGCAGCCGC